rnacentral:rRNA from 1 species
AGACUUUGAUAAUGGCUCAGAACGAACGCUGGCGGCAGGCCUAACACAUGCAAGUCGAACGCGUGCCUUCGGGCACGAGUGGCGGACGGGUGAGUAACGCGUGGGAAUUUGCCUUGGGGUACGGAAUAACCGCGGGAAACUGCGGCUAAUACCGUAUACGUCCUUCGGGAGAAAGAUUUAUCGCCCCAAGAUGAGCCCGCGUCCGAUUAGGUAGUUGGUGAGGUAACGGCUCACCAAGCCUUCGAUCGGUAGCUGGUCUGAGAGGAUGAUCAGCCACACUGGGACUAAGACACGGCCCAGACUCCUACGGGAGGCAGCAGUGGGGAAUAUUGGACAAUGGGGGAAACCCUGAUCCAGCCAUGCCGCGUGAGUGAAGAAGGCCUUAGGGUUGUAAAGCUCUUUUCGGUGGUGACGAUGAUGACGGUAGCCCACCAAAAAAAAGCCCCCCGGGUUAAAUUCCC